AUGGCAGGUGUAAGCCACCAUGCCUGGCCACAAGGUAGGAAUGUCAUGAGGCUCAGAGAGGUUGGAUAAUUUUCCAAGAUUGCCCAUCUUGUAAGUGGCAGAGCUGAAAUUUCAAUCUAGUCCAUUCGAAGUCUGAAGGCCAUAUUUUUCUUUCUAUUCCACACUGUCUUGGGAUAGGUCCAAUGUACAAGAACGGAGAUGGAAUCUCCAUAUAAAAUUCUGUUUACUACUACUACUGAAACAACCAUCUCACAACCUAUGGCUCCUAAAUAAGAAAAUCCUGUAGUACAGACAUCUAAAUUCACUUAUAAUCCGCUAUGUGUGGACAGAGAGUUGGAGAAAUGGGCUAGGGGAGGGGGAUCCCACCUGGGAAUACAAUGGCCCAUUAGACAUUAGAUAUGUUCUCAAAUGGCCACAUAUGCUGCCUAAAAUUAGUAAGGCAGCCUCCAAACUUUCAGGGCUAAUACAUACAUCCUAGCCAAUACGCCAUAUUUGUAAAAUAACAAUCUCCUCCUUCAAAUAGUUUAAUAAAAUGGGAAAAUAUAUAUGACAGUCCAGAAUCCACUAUCAGAGCCAUAGAGACUUUGAACUGGAUUAGUAGAGUCCUCAGCCAGGAUGACCCUGGCCAGGUCCAAGACAGCCUGCUGUCCAUCAGAGACUCGGAGACAGCUGCCAGUCUGCAGGGCAGCCCAUCCUGCCCCAGAAGCUUAGCUCAAGACCUGCCCAGACAAGAAAACUGUGGCAGGGGCCCAGCAGGAAGGCAAAAAUUACAUUUAUUUCUCCUCAGGGCAGACUGGGAUAUGGAUAACCAAGACACGCAGGAAAUCCCAAACUCUCAUAUUCAUCAAAAAAGGCAGAAAUCUUCAUGCCAAGUUAACUUUUACCAGAGGGAGCCCAUUGCCAUUCUGUAGACCAAGAGGAGGAUCCAGCUCCCAAAGAGCCUCACGCUUCACAGCAAAGGCUCCUGCAGGUGGCUCACAGGUGCUCUGUUCCCAUGGGUCCUGCAUGGCCACAGGGCAGUGCUGCCCUUGAUGCAGUAUGGAAUGAAAAGCCUCAGUACGGCGCACUGUGUGUGUCAGUGGAAGACGACUGAUGACGGGCCUCUCCCGGGAAGAACUGUCCUUUUCUUUGACAUUAUGUCGUCACUCCUUUGUUGGGUAUUAACAUGUCCUUUUAAUGAAAUGACAAUGGUGGCAGAGCUGGCAUCUGACAGUUUCUUUUUCAUGUUUUUGCUUGUCAAAAUAAAAAGCUGGUGGCCUUGUGAUAUUCCGUUUUGUAAAAAUUCAUUGAUUAUCCCACAAAAAGUCUGGGAACCCCUCCCUUAGUCCAAAUGCCUCAUUCUACAGGCAGGAAAUUUAAGGCCCCAAUAUUCCACACUCAUAGUGGCCAGGUCCCCCUCCAAAAAUACGGCUUUCAGACUUCAGGGACCCAGGGUAUGUCUGUCAUGCUAGCCAGAGACAGCCUUGGGGCCAGGAAAGGUAGGGUCUGAGGGAUGGAGGCACGGUCUCUCAGGGAUGGAGGAGCUCUGCAAGCCGCUGGCCCACACAACAGGGGAAAGGGGAAGGCAAGUAUUUUCAGAGCUCGGGGCCAUACCAACCGCCCAAGCUCCUGGCAUCUGAUGUCCUCACUAUCACUACUGUAGGAAAUGCACAGAACUAUAACAACCUUCCUGGAAACACUACAAGUAUUACUGUGGCCCCAAGCCACCACCCAAGGGGCAACUGGGAAGAAAGAAUUCACCCGCAGAUAGCAGAUAGGAUGCAUUGUUUAUGGUUGAAUACUCCCUUUGGAGUCAACAGAGGACUCCAAGCAAUUUGGAGUAAAAAGAUGAGUAACCUGAGAGCAAAGUCACAGCCCAGUGCCCCACAUGGAAGGGAACAUGGUCAUCCCCUUCGCGGCUGUUCUUUGCUUCCCACCACUACUGUCUUCAUCACACACCUGUGCUUAUUCUCUAGCAGUCAGGGCAGAGUCUGCCGCAUUUGCCCCCUCCACAUCCUCAGAGCCUGAAUAGCACCUAGCACACAGUGAGCAUUUCACAGGGCACUGAAAGAAUAAAUCAACAAAUCCUGUUUUUUGUUCUGUCCUGCUUUGUUUUUACGCUUCGCUCAUAUCUUCUGGAAUCUCAAAAUCCUGCCAAGUCCACACUGCCCAAAGUACAGAAGUCAAACUCCUCAAGGCCUGAUCUUCAAGGCCUGGAGCUGAGGCUGCUGGCUGCCCUCCCCACUCACCACUGACCUGCUCUCCCACUUGACUUCUCAGCUAUGACUCGGUCCUCUUGACUGCCACACCUCUGUGCUGGCUGUCCCCACUCCUGGGAUGCUCUCCCCAUUGCUCCCCACCCAUCUUCAUCCUCCCUGAUCAAAUCCCAGAGGUGCAGUGAAGUUCUCCUUCCUGGCUAGAUCUCCCUGAAACUCUCCCUGUCCUGUCUCCAGUGCCCACAUCUGCUCCCCUAAUUCCACAUGGAACAGGUACUUAGCUGUCUUUUGAUCCAUGCAUGUUGCAUUGCCCCAAUUAGCCUGGACAAUCCUUGAAGGCAAGGCCUAUAUACUUUUUAUACCCAAAGUAUUUGGCAUACAGCAAAGUGCUUAACAGACAUGUACCGAUUGAGUAAAUUAAAUCUCUGGUCAGUGGGCAUUGUAAAAGCAAGAGCUUUCCCAGGCAUCACUGACAUCCGGGUAAACCAGGCCAGUUUCCAUGACUUGAAGCUUAAACUGGGGGUUGGCUCCUAACUGCUGUUCCUUAGGGCAGCUACAUUUUCAAAUACAAACACCAAAUCCCAAAUGAGAUCAGAUGACAUGGAGCUUCUGAGAGGCACAUGCCCCACCAGGCAUGUCAGUCAAAAGAAAGAUGAAUGUUCUUGUUUACAAAAGGAUUUGUCCCGUGCCAGGAAAAUUUCCACCGUGAUUUAGGACCUAAUCCAGUCUGUGCCUAUAGACCUCACCAACUGAACAUGUUCCUGCUUCUUCCAUUUGCUGAACUUGGAUGGGGUUUGGCUUCGGGUCAAAAGAGCUGUUGCAAUUAGGUCAUCACACAGCCUUUCCCCACACGUAAGAUGACCCCCAUUCAGGAAACCAAAGGCUAGCAAGAUAGACAGACUUUGGGAGGCAGAAAGAAGGCCAGGUUACCAGGCAUACAGUGGCGGUCAGGACCUACUGCUCCGAACACAGCCCAGCCUGAGGGACCAGGCUCCCGGAGCUGCCCUGCUCCCUGGACUCUGCCUCUGACCUCACCCCUUGGAAGAACUGGCUGGGUUCCAAAACUUCAGCCUCUAUGUCCCUGGGUUCCCACACACCCUAGUUUGGAUCUAGGUCUCCAACACAGCAGCCAAACACAAGAGAGUCCAGAGCAGUUGCUAAUGUGAAAUGAAAACAACAAUUCAACAGCCCAGGGAAAGGAGACAGGACUUCUUUUUCCAUUGGAUUCAGAGAACUCCUUCUCCGUUUCCUUCUCGAUCCCUAGUGGGAGUUAAGGAUGGCAAGCGCCUGGCCCUGCAAAGCCUCAACUCUCUACUUGGCUCUCCUCGACCCAUCAAUCUUCUCUCCAUGGCCUGGGACCCCUCCAACGCUGGACGUCGAGAGAGGCUCGGCAGCUGUGAGAACCUUCUUUCUCAACUAUUUGCUGAUUUAUUUGUUCAAUGCUGGUGUCCCUCACUAGACCAUGAGCCCAGAAGGAGAGGCAGCAUGCAACUGUGCUCGUUGUCUACACAGGGCCUACCACUGGGCCUGGGCCAGGGCAGGCGCCUGGGAGGCCUUGGUUUCUGAGGCUGAGAGAGGAUAAGCUAAGCACGGGGCAGAACAGGCCACUGACCGUCUCCAGACCCCAGAACAACACAGAUGGCAGGCCAAAGAUGGACUGCGUUGUCUGAUUCAAGAGUACAGGCUACACAGUCAGACUAACCGGGGCCUGGCUUGGACUCUCUUUAAAUAUUCAUUCUUCAUCUGUAAAAUAGGCAUAUGAUUCCCACUUCACUGGACUGUAGGACAUAUGUGAAGGACUCUGCAGUGUCUGGAACAUAUUUAUGGCCCAUGAAAUGAAUAGUUAUUGAUGACAGUGAUGAAAAGAAGAAGAUCCAAUGGAGUAAUGUUCAAGGCCUGCUUCAAGUCUUGCCUUGGUAAAGCUUUCUGUUGGGCACUCAAAUAAAGCUUAUGUGACUUUUUCUAUAUAUAACAAACAUGGAUCUAUGAUGACUGUCUACUGGGUAAUGUUCUGAGCACUCCCUAAACAGUAACUCACUGAAUCCUCAUAACAACUUCAUGUAAUAUGUACUAUUAUUAUGCCCAUUUUACAGAUGAGGGAAAUAGGCAUGAGGGGUUAGGUGAACGACCCCAGGUCGACACAACUAUAAGAGGUUGAGCUGGUAUAUAAAUCCAGACAGUCUGCACUAGAGUCCAUGUUAGUUAAAGGCCGAUACAGUGUGCUGCUGUUAUUAUUCGUGUAGAUGUUGGCUGUUAUAGUCUCCUCUCUUAUGGAGCAGAGCUAGUCUCUCUCCCACUUUCUUGACGAAUGGCAGGGGCCUCCCCUAUAACAUCUCUGAAGCCCCUGCAGCACUUCAUAGAGCCAGUCAGAGUGAGCUUGCUGACCCACCUGCCAGGACUUGCUGCGUCCUCUGCAUUCUUCAAGGCAUCCCCAGCAGAGCCUUAAAGGGCAAAGCCUGCAAACCUCCCUCUGCAGCACUGCUGCAUGCCCCACCUCCCUCCAGGGCACUUUCCAACUUCUGACCUGGACCCAAAGUAAGAAAUAUGUUUUACAUUGUGAGCCAUACAUAUCUACUAUAUAAGUAAUUGCAACACUGGAUUCAUGAAGCAAUACCUACACUAUUACAAGGGAUGUACUUUGAUACCUUGUAUUUUUUUUAACACUGAUUGCAACUCACUAAAUUGAUUUUAUAAUCCACUUAGAAAAUUCUUCUUAGGGGAGUUCAGCUCCAACAUCCAGCACAUGAAAUUCCUGAGUGCAGUGCACAGCAAUUCUUCCCACAGGCAGCCCUGCCUGGUGCACAUCAGCAUCAUGGUGCUAUCCCAGCCCAGAUGGUCACUUAUAUCCUCCCCAGAACCCCGAGCCUGGCUGGAGCACCCAGGCAGUAGAAGGUCAGUACAGGCUGGGAGUCAAGGAUCCAUUUAAAGCAGUGCUCACAGCAGUCACAGAGUGAAGAGCCUUGCUUUAGAGUCUGAUGGAACUGAGCUCAAAUCUCACCUCUUCUAGUUACUAACUCAGGUGUUAUUGGAUGAGUUCUUAACCUCUCUGAGCCUCAGUGCCCUCCCCUGGAAGGGGGCACUAUUAAUAUGCACCACAGAGGGUGUUAGCUGAGAUGCGGAGAUGACUCGGCACAGCACCCAGAUGCAGGACACUGAAUCGGUACCAGUCAGUGGUGGUGGGAGGUCUUUGCUGGGCCCUCUAAGCCUAACCCAAAACCUCACAGGGGCCUUCCCUCCCCUCUCUUUUUGCCUCCAUAUUUAAAGAUUCUACAACCUUCAGAAGAAAUAGGAGUACUUCCUAGCACGUAGUCAAUACUCAACAAAUGUCUGAACCAAUUAAGCAAGGGCCCAGGAUUUUGCCCAAUAAGUUAUCCAAUCCUGAGCAUCCAUUUACUUAUUUAUUUCUUUUAUUUAUUUAUUUAUUUUGAGACAGAGUCUCACUCUGUCGCCCA